ACAAGCUUGACAAAAGAGAGACCACGUACAGAGCCGGUUAGACAAGGAAAGCUGAGGAGUUACGGAGGAGGAGCCGACCAUGGCCUCCGGCCGGCCUCCGGCCGGCCUCCUCACCCCGGUUACGCACUUGCCCGGUUAUGAUCGUAGUGGUGUCGCACGAAGACGUGGAUUUCCUCCCACCGGCUGCUCCGUUGUGAAAGGGGGGUGUCGCCAGCAACAGACGACGGCGCCAUUGCUGUUCUCCGACGACACACCUCUUUUGGCACGCUCACCACUAUUUUCUACAGAUCGAGAAUCAACGACGACGUCGGUUGUUUCCGGCCACUCCCGUUCGUAGUGUAUGCUGAAAACCCUAGCCCACACACGGAAGAGAGAGACGGGGGAAUAUCUAGAGAGAGUGAUGGAGGAGGAGCCGAGCAUGGCCUCCGGCCGGCCUCCUCACCCCGGUUACGCACUUGGUCGGUGAUGAUCGUAGUGGUGCCGCACGAAGACGUGGAUUUCCUGCCACCGGUUGCUCCGUUGUGAAAGGGUGGAGCUGCCAGCAACGGACGACGGAGCCAUUGCUGUGCUUCGACGACACACCUCUUCCGGCACGUUCACCACAAUUUUCUACAGAUCGAGAAUCAACGACGUUGAUGGCUGGAUUAGUUUUUGCAGGCUAACCGUGUCUCUGGGAGCUUCGACAGGUGACGAAGAUUAGGGGAAACAAAUCUCUAGGGUUUGACAAUCGCUAGGUGACGAACUAAGGUUCCGUCGUGAACCCUUGGCAGCGGCGAUGGUGUUUCAAGGCAGAUUCGGUUCACAAAUUGCUCUGUUCUUUAAGGUAAUGUUUCGUGGCCGGAACGUAUAAGAAUCAACUACAUGAUGGGUUAAAAGACAGCUGAAAAGUUGACAUGUCAAAUUCAAUACCAGAACAGAAUGCCAAAAUACAGAGCGCGACUAGAUCAGUGCCAUAUUUUCAAAGGUGCCAAUUUCAACCAUUUACUUGAAAGUAGGUUGAUUUGGGUUAUGCUUUAACUUCAACGGGUCAAGUGGUUCAAAAUAAAUAACCUAGACCAGGUCAGUCGGGUUGAAAGUCGCCCAAGUGUGGACUGGUACGAUAACAUUUUUUUCUCUGAAAUCAGGUCGUAGCCAACUUAUUUUCCUUGAUUCUCUUUGUAACAUGUAGCUCUUAAAUUUGAGAGUAAAAAUAGCAAAGGCUGCACUUAUGGUCCUCCAUAGUCUGUACGAAUGGCAGGUUUACAAGUACGUUCUUUUUUCCUGAUCUCACAUAACGAAGAUUUGGAUGUCUCGUAACAAAAACGUAUUCAGGGAAGCACAUACAACAACACAGUGGAUGAGGUGAAGGAAUGUACUUUCUUUUGGCUAACCCACAGGGCCAAAUUAAAUUACUUAUCUUUUGAAUAUUGGAACAGUUAUGGUGUCGAUGUAAUGCUAGAUUAGCAAGUAGUAUGUUUUCUAACCUUGCCUUCUAGCUCCUGGCUAGAGGCCUUUUGGUUUGAAUAUAAGGGGCUCCAUUUUGGUUUGAAUAUAAUGGGCUCCCUUUAUUUGUUAAAAAAAAAAUACUUUGCAUGUCAUUGGCUGAUCAUUUAUUCCAAAUUGCAAAGAGAAUUUUGAAUUAAUUGCCAUGACUCAUGAAGAAGUUGGAGGGCGUUUUGUUGAAGCUAUUGCAAUAUGUUUCAAAAAUUACAAGAGAAAAGGUGAUCAUCGACGCAUCGUUGAUCUAUAAUGAUUAUACACGAAUGAUAAUUUUUUUUAUAUAUAUUCUAUCUCAUAUCAUGUUACCAUUAUAAUUGCAACUCUUUAGCAAAGAAUAUAAUGCAUGUGAGUUAGUUAUGUUUAUUUAAGGACAUAAUUUGAUUAAUUUUAUACCGUUAACGUUUUAUAAAUUAUUUUUUCUAUUUGUUAUUCGGUUUGCUUUUGGCUUUUUUUUUUCUUUUUUUGUAGCUGAUGAUUAGAGAUGACAUCCAAAUGAAGAACUGGAGUCUGGAACAAUAAGCAUGUAUCUUUACAUCCCCGACAUUAUUGUAGCUGCAGCUGUAUACAUGGAUUAUAGAGUCAACUUACGGAUGGUGACUUCCUAUUAAUUUCUUAGUAGCUGAAAAUGGUUAACCGAUCAGCUAUCGACGCUCAGAUCAAAUGUUCCCAAAAUAAGCAAGGUGGAUGGAUAAAGAUCAAUACUGGGGCUACAAUACGGAUACCCUGAUCCAGAUUUGUUGUUCGAUGAAACGAGGACCGUUAUCAACAAUGAGCACACUUGAAGCACUUGGUUUAGACAUUCAACAAUGGGUCAUCAGUUAUUUUAAUGGUUGUUUAUUUCAAAGUUCAUAUUCUAAGGUGUGUUUCUAUUAAAAAUGUGCAUCUCUUUAUCUAUCUUAACUAUAUAUGCACAUGUAAUUAUAAUAAAUCCUAAAUUUGCAUGAUAUUUAGUCACAGGAUCGUCGAUCGACGAUGACUACAAUGAAUUGUGAUGACUUGAACCAAACCAUCAUCUGUUUGAUCAUUGUUAUUAUGUUUUACUAAUUUGUUUCUUAAGUUUGA